GCAGUGGUGGUUCAGUGAUAGAAUUCUCACCUUUCAUGUAGGAUACCCGGGUUCAAUUCCCAGCCAGAGCA
rnacentral:tRNA from 1 species